rnacentral:rRNA from 1 species
CCUACGGGAGGCUGCAGUGGAGAAUCUUUCACAAUGGGGGAAACCCUGAUGCUGCGACGCCGCGUGAGCGAUGGAGUGUUUCCGUAUGUAAAGCUCUAUCCGCAGGGAAGAAGAUGACAGUGACUGACUCAGAAGACGCAGCUAACUACGUGCCAGCAGCCGCAGUAAUACGGAGGGGGCAAGCGUUAGCCGUAUUUACUGGGUGUAAAGGUAGCGUAGACGGCGAUGCAAGCCAGAUGUGAAAGCCCGGGGCUCAACCCCCGGACGGCAUUUGGAACUGCGUGGCUGGAGUGUCGGAGAGGGAGGCGGAAUUCUUAGUGUAGCGGUGAAAUGCGUAGAUAUUGGGAGGAACACCAGUGGCGAAGGCGGGUUGCUGGACGUUGACUGACGUUGAGGCACGAAGGCGUGGGGAGCAAACGGGAUUAGAUACCCGAGUAGUC